rnacentral:tRNA from 1 species
UCGUCGCGGGCCACCUGGAAGCCGAGGCCGGGGGUCACCCCCUCGCCGGUGGCGAUGCGCCGCGCGCCGAACAGGAUCUCCUCCUGGGCGACGUA